rnacentral:rRNA from 1 species
AGGAAUAUUGGUCAAUGGACGUAAGUCUGAACCAGCCAAGUCGCGUGAGGGAAGACUGCCCUAUGGGUUGUAAACCUCUUUUAUAAGGGAAGAAUAAGUUCUACGUGUAGAAUGAUGCCUGUACCUUAUGAAUAAGCAUCGGCUAACUCCGUGCCAGCAGCCGCGGUAAUACGGAGGAUGCGAGCGUUAUCCGGAUUUAUUGGGUUUAAAGGGUGCGUAGGCGGUUUAUUAAGUUAGUGGUUAAAUAUUUGAGCUAAACUCAAUUGUGCCAUUAAUACUGGUAAACUGGAGUACAGACGAGGUAGGCGGAAUAAGUUAAGUAGCGGUGAAAUGCAUAGAUAUAACUUAGAACUCCGAUAGCGAAGGCAGCUUACCAGACUGUAACUGACGCUGAUGCACGAGAGCGUGGGUAGCGAACAGGAUUAGAUACCCUGGUAGUCCACGCCGUAAACGAUGCUCACUGGUUCUGUGCGAUAUAUUGUACGGGAUUAAGCGAAAGUAUUAAGUGAGCCACCUGGGGAGUACGUCGGCAACGAUGAAACUCAAAGGAAUUGACGGGGGCCCGCACAAGCGGAGGAACAUGUGGUUUAAUUCGAUGAUACGCGAGGAACCUUACCUGGGUUUAAAUGGGAAAUGUCGUAUUUGGAAACAGAUAUUCUCUUCGGAGCGUUUUUCAAGGUGCUGCAUGGUUGUCGUCAGCUCGUGCCGUGAGGUGUCGGGUUAAGUCCCAUAACGAGCGCAACCCUUACCGUUAGUUGCUAGCAUGUAAUGAUGAGCACUCUAACGGGACUGCCACCGUAAGGUGAGAGGAAGGCGGGGAUGACGUCAAAUCAGCACGGCCCUUACACCCAGGGCUACACACGUGUUACAAUGGCCGGUACAGAGGGCCGCUACCAGGUGACUGGAUGCCAAUCUCAAAAGCCGGUCGUAGUUCGGAUUGGAGUCUGUAACCCGACUCCAUGAAGUUGGAUUCGCUAGUAAUCGCGCAUCAGCCAUGGCGCGGUGAAUACGUUCCCG